rnacentral:rRNA from 1 species
AGCAGCAGCCACGGUAAUACGAAGGGUGCAAGCGUUACUCGGAAUUACUGGGCGUAAAGCGUGCGUAGGUGGUGGUUUAAGUCCGUUGUGAAAGCCCUGGGCUCAACCUGGGAAUUGCAGUGGAUACUGGGUCACUAGAGUGUGGUAGAGGAUAGUGGAAUUUCCGGUGUAGCAGUGAAAUGCGUAGAGAUCGGAAGGAACAUCUGUGGCGAAGGCGACUAUCUGGGCCAACACUGACACUGAGGCACGAAAGCGUGGGGAGCAAACAGGAUUAGAGACCCGAGUAGUCCCUGUCUCUUAUAC